rnacentral:rRNA from 1 species
AGCGAACGCUGGCGGCAGGCCUAACACAUGCAAGUCGAACGAACCUUUCGGGGUUAGUGGCGGACGGGUGAGUAACACGUGGGAACGUGCCCUUAAGUUCGGAAUAACUCAGGGAAACUUGUGCUAAUACCGAAUGUGCCCUUCGGGGGAAAGAUUUAUCGCCUUUAGAGCGGCCCGCGUCUGAUUAGCUAGUUGGUUGAGGUAAUGGCUCACCAAGGCGACGAUCAGUAGCUGGUCUGAGAGGAUGAUCAGCCACAUUGGGACUGAGACACGGCCCAAACUCCUACGGGAGGCAGCAGUGGGGAAUCUUGCGCAAUGGGCGAAAGCCUGACGCAGCCAUGCCGCGUGAAUGAUGAAGGUCUUAGGAUUGUAAAAUUCUUUCACCGGGGACGAUAAUGACGGUACCCGGAGAAGAAGCCCCGGCUAACUUCGUG